rnacentral:rRNA from 1 species
GACGAACGCUGGCGGCGUGCUUAACACAUGCAAGUCGAACGGAAAGGCCCUGCUUUUGUUGGGUGCUCGAGUGGCGAACGGGUGAGUAACACGUGAGUAACCUGCCCUUGACUUUGGGAUAACUUCAGGAAACUGGGGCUCAUACCCGAUAGGAUCUCCUGCUGCAUGGUGGGGGUAGGAAAGAUUCGGCGGUUGGGGAGUUACUUGCGGCUUCUCAGCUUCAUGGUGUGGUAGUUGCUUACCAAGGCUUUGACGGGUAGCCGGCCUGAUAUGUUGACCGGCUACAUUGGGACUGAGAUACGGCCCAGACUCCUACGGGAGGCAGCAGUCGGGAACAUUGCACACUGGGCGGAAGCCUGAUGCAGCGACGCCGCGUGCGGGAUGACGGCCUUCGGGUUGUAAACCGCUUUCGCCUGUGACGAAGCGUGAGUGACGGUAAUGGGUAAAGAAGCACCGGCUAACUACGUG